rnacentral:tRNA from 3 species
GACACUUUGGCCGAGUGGUUUAAGGCGCAGGCCUGCUACUACAAUGUACUAGCUGUUUAGCCUGUGGGUUCGCCCGCCUGGGUUCGAGUCCCAGAGGUGUCG